rnacentral:lncRNA from 1 species
UACCAUUAAAAACCAUCCUUAAUAACAUAACACUGCAGGAGGCCAAAAUGAGUCAGAGGACAAACACAGAGAACAAUAAAAACGCAUCACUGCCCCAA